GUGCUUGCUUCAGUAGCACAUAUACUAAAAUUGGAAUGAUGCAGAGAAGAUUAGCAUGGCCCCUGCACAAGUAUGACACAGAAAUUCAUGAAGUGUUCCAUAUUUUU